rnacentral:rRNA from 1 species
GAGUUUGAUCAUGGCUCAGAUUGAACGCUGGCGGCAGGCCUAACACAUGCAAGUCGAGCGGAAACGAGUUAUCUGAACCUUCGGGGGACGAUAACGGCGUCGAGCGGCGGACGGGUGAGUAAUGCCUAGGAAAUUGCCCUGAUGUGGGGGAUAACCAUUGGAAACGAUGGCUAAUACCGCAUGAUGCCUACGGGCCAAAGAGGGGGACCUUCGGGCCUCUCGCGUCAGGAUAUGCCUAGGUGGGAUUAGCUAGUUGGUGAGGUAAGGGCUCACCAAGGCGACGAUCCCUAGCUGGUCUGAGAGGAUGAUCAGCCACACUGGAACUGAGACACGGUCCAGACUCCUACGGGAGGCAGCAGUGGGGAAUAUUGCACAAUGGGCGCAAGCCUGAUGCAGCCAUGCCGCGUGUGUGAAGAAGGCCUUCGGGUUGUAAAGCACUUUCAGUCGUGAGGAAGGCGGUGUAGUUAAUAGCUGCAUCGUUUGACGUUAGCGACAGAAGAAGCACCGGCUAACUCCGUGCCAGCAGCCGCGGUAAUACGG